rnacentral:rRNA from 1 species
UACGUAGGGUCCGAGCGUUGUCCGGAGUUACUGGGCGUAAAGGGCGCGUAGGCGGCAAUUCAAGUCAGCUGUGAAAUCUCCGAGCUUAACUCGGAACGGUCAGCUGAUACUGUUUUGCUAGAGUGCAGAAAGGGCAACCGGAAUUCUUGGUGUAGCGGUGAAAUGCGUAGAUAUCAAGAGGAACACCUGAGGCGAAGGCGGGUUGCUAGGCUGACACUGACGCUGAGGCGCGAAAGCUAGGGGAGCAAACGGG